rnacentral:rRNA from 1 species
UACGAAGGGGCUAGCGUUGCUCGGAAUCACUGGGCGUAAAGGGUGCGUAGGCGGGUCUUUAAGUCAGGGGUGAAAUCCUGGAGCUCAACUCCAGAACUGCCUUUGAUACUGAAGAUCUUGAGUUCGGGAGAGGUGAGUGGAACUGCGAGUGUAGAGGUGAAAUUCGUAGAUAUUCGCAAAGAACACCAGUGGCGAAGGCGGCUCACUGGCCCGAUACUGACGCUGAGGCACGAAAGCGUGGGGAGCCAAACAGG